CCUACGGGUGGCAGCAGUGAGGAAUAUUGGUCAAUGGACGAGACUCUGAACCAGCCAAGUAGCGUGCAGGAUGACUGCCCUAUGGGUUGUAAACUUCUUUUAUGUGGGGAUAAAAUGAUUCACGUGUGGGUUUUUGUAUGUACCAUAUGAAUAAGGAUCGGCUAAUUCCGUGCCAGCAGCCGCGGUAAUACGGAGGAUCCGGGCGUUAUCCGGAUUUAUUGGGUUUAAAGGGAGCGUAGAUGGGUUGUUAAGUCAGUUGUGAAAGUGUGCGGCUCAACCGUAAAAUUGCAAUGGAGACUGGGAGCCUUGAGUACAGUUGAGGUAGGCGGAAUUCGUGGUGUAGCGGUGAAAUGCUUAGAUAUCACGAAGAACUCCGAUUGCGAAGGCAGCGUA
rnacentral:rRNA from 1 species